AGUGAACGCUGGCGGUAGGCCUAACACAUGCCAGUCGAACGGCAGCACAGUAAGAGCUUGCUCUUACGGGUGGCGAGUGGCGGACGGGUGAGGAAUACAUCGGAAUCUACUUUUUCGUGGGGGAUAACGUAGGGAAACUUACGCUAAUACCGCAUACGACCUACGGGUGAAAGCAGGGGAUCUUCGGACCUUGCGCGAUUGAAUGAGCCGAUGUCGGAUUAGCUAGUUGGCGGGGUAAAGGCCCACCAAGGCGACGAUCCGUAGCUGGUCUGAGAGGAUGAUCAGCCACACUGGAACUGAGACACGGUCCAGACUCCUACGGGAGGCAGCAGUGGGGAAUAUUGGACAAUGGGCGCAAGCCUGAUCCAGCCAUACCGCGUGGGUGAAGAAGGCCUUCGGGUUGUAAAGCCCUCUUGUUGGGAAAGAAAAGCAGCAGGUUAAUACCCCGCUGUUCUGACGGUACCCAAAGAAUAAGCACCGGCUAACUUCGG
rnacentral:rRNA from 1 species